rfam:Schistosoma mansoni, Puerto Rico, WGS project CABG01000000 data, contig: 0156
AUCCAGCUGACGAGUCCCAAAUAGGACGAAACACGCGUCAAACUUGAU